rnacentral:lncRNA from 1 species
AGCCCCUUACAAAGCAACACAUGAACUGGGGUUUAAGCUUCUGCCACUCUCACAACCCAUCAUCUACUUGUUACUCCACAAUGCCUUCCCUUAGGCCCAUAAUAUGAUGAUGUUUCAUGUAGUCGGCAUUCACACGACACCACUAAGAGAAGCAACAACAUACACAUCAUCAAAAUAUCGAACGAAUACCAACUUCACAUGAUUACUUAUAACAAGACUUCUCCCAUGUCCUCGGGAACAAUAUUGACUACUCACACCUCAUAAACAUGUUCAAGAUCAAAGGUACAAUAAUUGUCAUCAAGGAUCUGAACAUAAUAUCUUUCACCAUGUAAUCCAACAAGCAUCAACUACAAAAUGUAAUCAACACAACUAGUAACCCAUAGGUACCAAUCUGAAGUUUUGAG